UUCAUAUUUGGACCUAACUGGAAUUAAGGUGGGUAAGGGCAACUGGUGAAUUUUUAAGGGUUCUACAUUCUAGCCAAUAUAUGCAUGUACAAAACAAGAUCCUGAAUAGUGGCCCUAAGUCCUCAUUGGACUCUACAAUUGAUCAGGGCCCCUUUGUAAGCGUUGUGGAGGAUGGUAUGGUGGUUGCAGUGGGAAAUGAACAAACAAACAAUAAUUCGAUGGAAGAAUUAUCGGAGACUCAGAAGAGUCAUUGUGAAAAUACUGAAAUUGUUUCUGUU